UACGAAGGGGGCUAGCGUUGUUCGGAUUUACUGGGCGUAAAGGGCGCGUAGGCGGUCAGCACACGUCUGGUGUGAAAUCUUUCGGCUCAACCGGAAGCGGUCACUGGAUACUCUCGGGCUUGAGUCCGGAAGAGGAGAGUGGAAUUCCUGGUGUAGCGGUGGAAUGCGCAGAUAUCAGGAGGAACACCAAUGGCGAAGGCAGCUCUCUGGUACGUGACUGACACUGAGACGCGAAAGCGUGGGGAGCGAACAGG
rnacentral:rRNA from 1 species